GGCCAGGUAGCUCAGUUGGUAGAGCAGGGGACUGAAAAUCCCCGUGUCGGCAGUUCGAUUCUGUCCCUGGCCA
rnacentral:tRNA from 2 species